UUGGCAUUAGCUAGUUGUAAACUACAGUUUAGUUAGUUAGUAUGGAGAAAUCCGGGAUUCAGCAUUUUGCAUGCUACACCGAGCCGGUGUUCUGCCAUUUUCUGCUACCCAUCAAAUUCUGCUACCUAGUGGUUCUGCGCAUGCGCACGUGUUCAUGCGUGGGCGCCCAUCAGUUUCUGGCGGAUGGUUCCAGAUGGAAGCGAUGGCCGACGUCGUUGCAGCUGUAUGCUGACGGCAAAGGGCCUAUCGUAGCCGCGGAUUCACCUGAUGCUACGAGGCAAAGGAGACGUGCUCUGCUGCUUCAUCUUGCUGGACCAGACGUACAGGACAUCUUAUCAACUCUUCCGGACACGGUGUCCUCGGUCAUGGCUCAAUGUUGGAUACCGAGUGACUGCACCGCUGGGCCGACGCUAGGUAGGCUGGUGAGGAAAGGGGAGCUUUACUAUACAGUGUGUGUGUGUUAGGGCUGCACGAUUAUUGCCAAAAGGAUUAUCACGAUUAUUUUGAUCAAUAUUGAUAUCACGAUUAUUGACCACGUUUAUUCAUUGAAAAAAAAAAAAAAUCAAAUUUCUACCACCCCCUAGUGGUAGGAGCCACACACUGUGCUCAGAAGCAGAUAGCCGCCAGGCCAAGCCCCCCCCCCCCUGUGUGCAGGAUGGACUCACGCAGUCGCAGACAGGUGUACAGGGAGCGCUUGGUUUGCUUUGCAGCAGAGGUAGAGCGUAUACUGCAUGGGCGGGGCUCGUUUCUUUUUUGGUUUUCCUUUUUUUGCGGAUGCAUUACUUAAAGGCGACCUAUUAUGCUUUUUUGAAUUUUAUGACCUAUAAACAUUGUUGUAAUGAUUGAUAGUCAUGUUUAACCAUAGACAAAAAACGAUGUAGAUUUUCGGGAAACUCUUCCUCUCAUCUGGGCGCUUUCAGCCUUCUCUGUCAACGCUCGGUUUCGUCCUUCUCCGCCCCCUCGCCCCCCUCCUGCCAGCCCAACUCCGUUGUGAUUGGUUACCUCCCUUGGAGCGCGCGCGCGGGCAGAUUUGACCAGGCAUAUGGGGGCGUGUCAGGAGUGCCUCUACGUAGAUGAUUUCCCGGAAAUGUGAACAAGUGAAUCGCAAACGUUGUCCUGAGUGUUUAGUGCUCUGCACAGCCUCCCCAGACUGUCAGCAGGGAAUACGUCGAAAUGCAUGUUCCUCAUUAUUUGACACUUUAGUAUGGUUAAACAUGACUAUCAAUCAUUAUAACAACGUUUAUAGGUCAUAAAAGUCGAAAAAGCAUAAAGGUCCCCUUUAAAAAAAUAUCGCGAGAACACUACGUGUCAUCGUGGGACGCCAAUAUCGUCAUUCAAUAAAAAUUAGAUAUAUUGUGUGUGUGUGUGUGUGUGUGUGUGUGUGUGUGUGUGUGUGUGUGUGUGUGUGUGUGUGUGUGUGUGUGUGUGUGUGUGUGUGUGUGUGUGUGUGUGAGGCUACUGGUCUCCUCCCUGAAGCUACUGGUCUCCUGAAGCUACUGGUCUCCCUGAAGCUACUGGUCUCCAACCAGUAGAACAGAUUGAAACAGAAUGCUAGAGAAUUGAUCUAUUUCUACUGGUUUACAUCUUGGGGGGGAGAGACAUGGACCCACCUGGAGACUUCAGACUGGAGCAUCUGAGGGCGUUAGUGAUUUCCCUGUUCUCUCGCUCGUACAUUCUGGAACUUUUCUGUCUUGUCUUGCAGCCUGUCACAUAGCGAUGCCGGAUUAGACCCCCCAGCAGAUGGCGCUAUUGCAACACAUACUCCCUUAGAAGCUCCCUCGUUUUUGAAAUGCUCGUGUUUCCAGACGUAUAUGUCUCGUACGAUGGCGGUACAUCCGUACCGGCAGUGUCCCGCUAAUGUGGUUCUUGAGCCGGAAAAUUGGCGGUGCCUAUUUCCAGAAAUAUCGAUCCCUGCUCACAUGCACACAUGUUCCCUUGGAGGGAAUGUUCAAGAACAUUGCAGGAAAAGACGUUGCAUCAUGUGUGAAAGCUGGUUUGAAAAGUGCUUUAUAAAAAUGGACGAUUAUUGUUAUCAUGAUAUAUUAUAUAAAUGAUGUGAAUGUUUCUUCGAUGGAGAGGAGCUGACGUUGAGAUCAGGAUGGGUGAGCUGUGUCUGAGCUGAACUCUGCGUUAUAAUAAUAACACAUUUCUGUAUCACCCGCUUCAAAAUAACAGUGGAUUCACAUGGUAAUGCAUAUAAAGAUUGAAUAGGUAGUUAGGUACUAGAGGAGUCACGGAAUGGAGGGAGAGGAGUGAAGGGAAGGAGGUGAACUGAUGAAGGCGAUGUCGAGGGGCAGCCUUCUGCGGGCCUGCGAGGACGGAGGUGGCGGCCCGCCGGGGAGAGGAGGCACGGAGAGCGUUCCUCAGGGAGGGCGCGUCCGCGGAGAAGGCCCUGCCAAACCUGGUAAGGCAUCGGCCCCAGUGAGAAGGCCCUGCCAAACCUGAUAAGGCAUCGGCCCCAGUGAGAAGGCCCUGUCAAACCUGGUAAGGCAUCGGCCCCAGUGAGAAGGCCCUGUCAACCCUGAUAAGGCAUCGGCCCCAGUGAGAAGGCCCUGUCAAACCUGAUAAGGCAUCGGCCCCAGUGGUUUGUCAAACCUGAUAAGGCAUCGGCCCCAGUGGUUUGUCAAACCUGGUAAGGCAUCGGCCCCAGUGGUUUGUCAAACCUGAUAAGGCAUCGGCCCCAGUGGUUUUAAUGUGGUUGCAUCUGCAAUUAUGAAUCAGGUUUCUGUGGAAUGUCCCUCGGGGGUAAAUAGAGGAGAUUUGAUCCGACUUUGUGUGCUUCGAGGACAAAUAAGUAUUAAAGUUGGCCUCCAUGCAACGAAAUUCAUUACCUUUAAUGUUAUUAAACUUUCAGACUUCUCAAUAUACUCUUGUUUCAUGCAAUUAUUGCACUUUAAAUGUUCCGAUCCCGG
ensembl:lncRNA